UACGGAGGGUGCAAGCGUUGUCCGGAUUUAUUGGGUUUAAAGGGUGCGUAGGCGGCUAUUUAAGUCAGCGGUGAAAGACUCCGGCUUAACCGGAGCAGUGCCAUUGAUACUGGAUAGCUUGAGUGUUGGAGGGGUACAUGGAAUUGAUGGUGUAGCGGUGAAAUGCAUAGAUACCAUCAGGAACACCGAUCGCGAAGGCAUUUUACUGGCCAACAACUGACGCUGAGGCACGAAACUGUGGGGAUCAAACA
rnacentral:rRNA from 1 species